AACGCUGCGGCAGGCCUAACACAUGCAAGUCGAACGGUAACAGGAAGCAGCUUGCUGCUUCGCUGACGAGUGGCGGACGGGUGGAGUAAUGUCUGGGAAACUGCCUGAUGAGGGGGAGUAACUACUGGAAACGGUAAGCUAAUACCGCAUAACGUCGCAAGACCAAAGAGGGGGACCGUUAGGGCCUCUUGCCAUCGGAUGUGCCCAGAUGGGAUUAGCUAGUAGGUGGGGUAACGGCUCACCUAGGCGACGAUCCCUAGCUGGUCUGAGAGGAUGACCAGCCACACUGGAACUGAGACACGGUCCAGACUCCUACGGGAGGCAGCAGUGGGGAAUAUUGCACAAUGGGCGCAAGCCUGAUGCAGCCAUGCCGCGUGUAUGAAGAAGGCCUUCGGGUUGUAAAGUACUUUCAGCGGGGAGGAAGGGAGUAAAGUUAAUACCUUUGCUCAUUGACGUUACCCGCAGAAGAAGCACCGGCUAACUCCGUG
rnacentral:rRNA from 1 species